ACCAAACCUUCCUUGCAUGAGUCUGUUAAGGCUCCAAGCGACAGUUAAACUGAUUUUUAAAGGACCAGACAAAUACAUUACAAGACAAAUGUCACUAUGCAUUAUAGAAGACCCAUUCAAUUGAACAGGAUUUCUCCAUAACAUCUAAAGAAGGUGGGCCGGGGAAAACAGUUAACAGCACAACCCUUAACCGUUUUCUAGUAAGAAGUAAGUUCUAUUCAAUUCAAUGGGUUUACUUCCAGGUGAGUGGAAUGAUUGCAGGCAAAGCACAGAAUCUAAAAUUACCUAACUGCACCAAUGACUGUCAGGGGCUGUAAAUCUUAUUGCUGUUCCAGCAAGGAAGGAGGCAUGCGUAAUCAUUUCCAUACUGUUUUUUGGGUCAAAGUUGUUCUGCCCUCUUAGGUUGUUUUUUUCCUUGCAGGCAGACAAAUACAAGUAUACUUGACGCAUAUUUGGCAUUCAACAUUUGAUUUGAAAUAUUCUUUAUAAUUUGGUGUUUAUACCACUGGAUAGGCAACACAGGCAUUUUUAAAUGCCCCAAGCAUGGUGCCGUUUCAAACCACACCCGCCAUCAAAUAAUUAGAAUUUAUACCUUGGACAUUUUUAAUAGAGAUGUAGUUAAUGAUAAUUAUGCAGAGGAUCAACUGCUGACUGUGUGCAGCUACUGUAAUGUGACGGUGCCACAUUUCUCUAUAUUUUCCUCUGUUCUAUUGUAAAAACUUCAAUUGCUCCAUUAUUGCCAUAUUAUUUGGCACCAAGGAAGCCAUUUACAACAGAGCACCAUUAUAGCAGUGCUAAUUGAAAACCAGUUUGGACAUCUAUAAUUUAAAAUUGAUGACAACUGAUUUCCAAAGCUCUUUUUUUUUUAGUAUAUCAUAGUAUAUCAAAUGAUUUAGUAUAUCAAAUGAUUAAUCUAUUAAUAUAACUUUACAGAAUAAAAGUUGCAAUGUCUCAAAAUAGUGGUUUUAAAAAUACUUAAUGAAGCUAUGGAACCUACAAAUUAUUUUCUAUGAGCCAGCUUGAAUGGAGAUGAGACUGGAACUUACCAGAAAUAGAAGAAUCCCCUUUCUUCCACCUGUUCUAACUGAACAAAGAGCUCCAUGUAACUCAAAAGCUUUCUUAAAGAAACAAAGUUAUAUGAGCUAUAGCUCCACCCAUCACCAUAAGAUGGUUACUUUUUGUAUACAUUGGUGGCUUCUAACAUACCUCCCCACUUUAAAAAGAGUGGCAAACCACCAGUUUCUUCUAAACAUUUUAGUGUUGUUUCACACUACCCCAAUCUCCAAGCAGCGUGAGAUUCAAGGGGUUCCAGGCGCUUACCCAGAGUUCAUGUUUCCUUGGGAAUUGAGGCACAAUGGAGACUGUGAUGUCUUUAGGAUAUAUGGUUUAUUUACACAUAUAUACAACCUGAGCCUACGAUGGAGGGGUUCACAGCAUCAACACCCUAAAGAGUCUUGUUUCUCCCAUAGCCACAGCCCUGGAUUCAAGCUGAGAUCUACCAUUUCUCUGCCUUUCUGACUUUCCCGCUCGCUGCCUUGCUUCUCGGUCAUAUAACUCCUUCCCCUCUCUACUCUAAAUUCUGCCUUUAUCUGUUGAGCAAUGGGGGCUCCAGCCAUUUGCCAACUUGCACAAGCUGUUUGAUGCUUCAUUCUCUUAAGAGCCCAUCACCCAGGAGGCUAGCCUGACUUAAUUAGCUCUUAAUACUUGCUAAAUCCAGGGAUUAGAAGUGUCUAGCAUUCAUUUUAACACCCCAAGCCUUGAUUAAAUUCUAACACUUACUGGAUCCAGGAAUUUAGAAGUGUCUGGCACCCACAAACUCAUGACAGUAUGUUGGAUAUAAUAGGUUGCAUGGCAAUAAAACAGCUGUAGUUAACAUUAUGCCCUCCAGAUGUUGCUGAACUACAACUUCCAGCACACCUGGCCUCUGGCCAUGCUGGCUGGUUUUCAUGGAAGUUGGAGUCCAACAGCAUCUCAAGGGCACCACAUUGGCUGAUUUAAAUGUUGCCCCUUGAUCAUUUCCUAUCCAGACAGGCUCUGGGGAAAAAAAAACAUGUAUGGGAAAAAGAAAGUUUAGAGCCAUUUGCAGGGAAGAACAAACCGGAACAGCUAUCCCUGCAAAUGGCCUACCCCUAAAUUUAUGUUAACCUUCAGAUACAUGUACUUGCACAUCUAAUGCAGUUUAUUUCUUCACUAGUCUAGAAUUCAAGGAGUAGAUACGGAACCAGGAGGAAUUGCUAUAGGAGUGAAAGGAACCUGCCUUCAUUUAAAACCAUGCCAGGUAUUCAUAUAUCAUAUUGUUGGACUAAUUUUUUUCUUACAAAAAAGUAUUAAAUGUUGAUAGGGUGAUACAAACUCUGGUUGGAGGGCGGCACCUUUUCUGCCCGUAAAUUCCUCAUAUUCAUAGGAACAAAGUUGUUUUUCCCCCUUACCAGUUCAUUAGCACCAUGCAUCAAAACUCUGGGACUCAAAGGUACAUUGGGGGUGGAAUUUUAUUUUGAGAGCUAUCAGCUCUUUGGAGACUCCUGUUCAAAAGUAUUUUGAUAUAAUGUUUAGGCUGUUUGUGGCUUCAGAUCUGUUCAUGAUGAAAUUCCAGGUAAUGUUUCAUAGGCUUGGCUUCCGGCCUCUAUUAGUUCUAAAAAAUAUUGACAUUUGAUCCUUUAAAUAGGUGAUAUGAGACGUCUGCUUUCAGUGUUUUAAGACAGCAUCUAUGAAUGUUUCUCAUUUUACAUCAGAACUUGGGAAAAUAUAGUAGAGACUUCCUACUAGAUAGUCUGGCUGCAGCAAAACCUAUUUUAUUAGGCUGUGUACGCAUUACCAGCUUACUACUGAUUUACUCCAGUGUGUUUCCACUGCUGAUGUUUAGAGGUGGCGCUGUGGGUUAAACCACAGAGCCUAGGAUUUGCCGAUCAGAAGGUCAGCGGUUUGAAUCCCUGUGACGGAUGAGCGCCCGUUGCUCGGUCCCUGCUCCUGUCAACCUAGCAGUUCAAAAGCACGGCGUUUUAAAAUGCCUUAUGAAAAUGACUGUGUCCAGCUUACUUGGACUGCUGCUAACUCUUGGACAAGAGAUAUUCAUGUCGUGCCUGUUUAACGUGGCAACUAAUUGUCACAUACAGUAUUCUAGUAGUGAAUCAGUGAUAUAGCCAAAACAGGACUACUGAGAAGCAAGAGGCAGGUAUCAGCAGAAUCAGGGGGUGGGGGGAGAGUUAGGAGAAAAAACUUCAGUGGGCCACCUGCAUUCCCUAAAUGGAACAACCUGGACUGAGCAUGCUUUGUGGUCACAGAACACAGGCUGAAGGCGGGGCAGAAAACUAGGGAGGAGGAAGGCGAAUGGAAUAGAGUAUCCUGAAAAGAGGCAAAGUUGGUGGAACCCUGAACAGGAGCACUCCACUUGCUAAGUUUACACAAAGCAGCUUCUACCUCAGGUUAAAAAAAAGGGGGGGGGAGUCCCUUUAUUAUUAACUAAAGAAAUGCCCAAAAGGAACUAGAGCGAAGCUUUCCAAACUUUUCAAGUUGGUGACACGCUUUUUGGACAUGGAUCAUUUCGCGACACAGUAAGUCAGUUUUGCAUCAUUUCGCGACACAGUAAUUCAGUUUUACUAGCAAACCGGAGGUUAAACUAACCCUUUCCAGUCCCAGGAGGAGCGCAGGGGGCGUUUUGUGUGACACACCUACUACACAUUGUAGCUGACACACUAAUGUGUCGUGACACAUAGUUUGGAAAGCUCUGAACUAGAGGCUAAACUGGCUUGUUCAUGUACCUUCGUAGUUCUGGAGAAUGGAAGACUGCCGGGGCUCAAGUUGACUUAGGGCUGCUACAUCAGCCACUAUAAUUUAUGAGCACGGUAAUAUCGAUUUUACAAUAUAUGAAAGCAGAACAUUGAUCUUCUUGCCUUCUCCCCCUUCUUGCCAUCUUCCUAUCCAUAUUUCUCCCCCCCUGGAAGUGCAUUGAUUUCUGAGCUCAGUGGUUGAGCCGUUGAAUGAAUCACAGAUUUACAGUGCUGAGCUCUGCUGUGCAAUUGAACACAGGGAAGGAAGUCCAAUCAGGGUCUAAUCAGAGAUCUACUCUCCAAAAAAGCCUCCUGACUGCAUCACAAUUAGAUUAAUCAGAGCUUGAGAAUAUUUUCUGACCUCUGCAGCUGAAGCAGAUGCAACACAGCGAAGGCUUUUUGCUUAGAAAAUGAAGACCCACUGAGUUGCAACUGAGGUGAAGGGAUAAAUCACCCAUUUUAGUCACCAUUCAGCACAGAACAUUAUUAUGCUUACCUUCUGAUUAGGGUGGAGCUCUACCUGGGAACACAAUGGCACUAAAAUACAACAGUUCUAUGUUGAAUUUUUCCUGAGAAUUCAAUUAUUAUUCUUUUAAAAAAUAAAACCUGGAUUAGUGUUGUUUCUUUUUUAUAUAUGCGUGAAUUUCCACUUGUGAUGGCCCAUGUUCUGUUGAAUAGCUAGAAUCAUUAAAGUUGGCACCAGAAUGUUUUAUGUUGCUUUUCCUCCAGAAGGCCUAAUCACUCGCUCACUCUUGAGAACAAAACAUUAAAUUGGACUGCCAGUGUUGCCAGAAUCCCAAAAGAUGGGCACUUAAUUUGCAUCUAAUUUAACUAUUAUUUGCAUACUUUGAUGUCAGAAUGGCAUUUGCUCAAACAAUUAUUGCUGCCUGGAUAUAAUCCCAAUUUUUCACAUACAAACCCUGUCUACAGUGCCUUCUGUCCUCUCCCUCUGAAGGGAAUAGGCGGGAGUCUGUACUACGUUAUCAGAUGCCAGCGACCAUACACCGUCUCUGCCCUAGCACCCUGAACUUUUAUGGUGGGCUUUUAAUGGUGAACUUCUUUUGGGAGCUAAUCUUUACUCCAAAGCAGUGUGUAAAUGUAGGGUGGAGUCUUUGUGCAUCUGAAGGGCAUCUGAUCCAGUGGAUGGCUCCGCAAAUAGUAGAGGGGAGGUUAUUUUUACCGAUUCUCUGCUCCCCUGCAGCUCCCCCAAACCCAAACAUUGGCUCCAGAGAGUUGGGGCAUCCUCCACUGUUGUAUCUCCAACAUUAGGAAGUUGAUUAAAGAUAAAAAAGGUAAAGGUAAAGGACACCUGACAGUUAAGUCCAGUCGCAGACAACUCUGGGGUUGCGGCGCUCAUCUCACUUUACAGGCCGAGGGAGCUGGCGUUUGUCCGCACACAGUUUUUCUUGGUCAUGUGGCCAGCAUGACUAAGCCGCUUCUGGCGAAGCCAGAGCAUCACACGGAAACGCCAUUUACCUUCCCGCCGGAGUGGUACCUAUUUAUCUACUCGCACUUUUUGGCAUGCUUUCGAACUGCUAGGUUGGCAGUAGCUGGGACCGAGCAAUGGGAGCUCACCCCGUCGCAGGGAUUCGACUCGCCAACCUUCUGACUGGCAAGCCCAAGAGGCUCAGUGGUUUAGACCACAGCGCCACCCGUGUCCCUGAUUAAAGAUACCGAGCCUCAAAGCAAGGCCUAUUAUGAGUACCUUAGUGUGAAGGUAGGUUCAAAGCUAAGGUCUCAUUGUCUGGAACUCCUUUUAACAAGUCCUUUGAAGAAGGUCGAGCCCAAGCCAUUCUGCUGCCUGAGGUGGAGCUACCAAAAUCAGCUGCCUGAGUUGGUCACCUCAUUCUGCCUACUGGCAGGGCCAGCCCAAGGCAGGUCCAAAAUGCAUCUUCCUAGGAAAAGCAGCUGCAGUUUAAAAGCUCAGAAUACGAACCAGCUGAUAGUAAAGAGCAUUCUCUGUAUUCUAGGAACACCCAUUACUCAUUACAAAUAGGAAACCGUUAAAAGCUCAGGGAGGAUGAGGAUUAAUACAGAUCUGGUUUUGUCCUCCCAUAGCUUCACUCCUCAGGACUGGAAAGCUACUUAUCGGCUCCAAACAGAAAUCAACACCCUUGCGAGGCUUGGCAGGAAGUUCGCUUUUAAAAACCAUUUACAGUAGGAGAUUUCCCUUUGUGUGGAAACUGCUAGAGGAUUCGAGGGAGAGGAAUGCAGCUAGGCUCAGAUGCAGAAUUGUUUGUGCUCAGUGGAUAGGAAAAGUGAAUGAGUGCGGAUGGGUCGGGGGAGGACUGUAAGCCAGAGAGUCUGUAAGAAGAAAGAGCUGUUUGGCAUCUGGCUUCCUGAAGCUCGGCUGCCUCUCUCUCUCUCUCUCGCCUUGUCUGCCAUAUCAAAUACGGUAGCUUUUUGAAUGCAACGUUCAGUGAACCAAAAUACAUUUCAAGAUCUUAUGUGGGGGAGCCUUGCCCCGAAUUGAAGUAAGUGGUGGCACUCCCAUUAAUUUCAAAGCAAGGUAGAAGGAAGGGGAAGAGGCUUUUUGUCAUCGUCCCCCACAUUUUUGCCUUUGUUUCCCC